UGAGACACGGCCCAGACUCCUACGGGAGGCAGCAGUGGGGGAUAUUGCACAAUGGAGGAAACUCUGAUGCAGCGACGCCGCGUGAGGGAAGACGGUCUUCGGAUUGUAAACCUCUGUCUUUAGGGACGAAAAAAAUGACGGUACCUAAGGAGGAAGCCACGGCUAACUACGUGCCAGCAGCCGCGGUAAUACGUAGGUGGCAAGCGUUGUCCGGAAUUACUGGGUGUAAAGGGAGCGUAGGCGGGGAGACAAGUUGAAUGUUUAAACUAUCGGCUCAACUGAUAGUCGCGUUCAAAACUAUCACUCUUGAGUGCAGUAGAGGUAGGCGGAAUUCCUAGUGUAGCGGUGAAAUGCGUAGAUAUUAGGAGGAACACCAGUGGCGAAGGCGGCCUACUGGGCUGUAACUGACGCUGAGGCUCGAAAGCGUGGGUAGCAAACAGGAUUAGAUACCCUGGUAGUCCACGCCGUAAACGAUGAUUACUAGGUGUGGGGGGACUGACCCCUCCCGUGCCG
rnacentral:rRNA from 1 species